AUGGCGUUAGUACGAGUGUCGUGCAGCCUCCAGGCCCCCCCCUCCCGGGAGAGCCAUAGUGGUCUGCGGAACCGGUGAGUACACCGGAAUCGCCGGGUUGACCGGGUCCUUUCUUGGAACUACCCGCUCAAUGCCCGGAAAUUUGGGCGUGCCCCCGCAAGACUGCUAGCCGAGUAGCGUUGGGUUGCGAAAGGCCUUGUGGU
rnacentral:other from 12 species